rnacentral:rRNA from 1 species
UAUUGGGGUUGCGGACAUAUCAUAACGGAGAGGUAUCGUAAUUGAAGAGGUUUGGAAAGACCCACCACAGAAGGUAAUAGUCCUGUAUGUUAAACGAGAAGACUUUAGAUAUGAUCCAGAGUACCACGGGACACGUGAAACCCUGUGGGAAGCAGGAGGGACCACCCUCCAAGGCUAAAUACUACCUAGUGACCGAUAGCGUAUAGUACCGUGAGGGAAAGGUGAAAAGAACCCCGGGAGGGGAGUGAAAUAGAACCUGAAACCCUGCACUUACAAGCUGUGGAAGCACAUUUCUUGUGUGACCGCGUACUUUUUGUAGAACGGGCCAACGAGUUACGUUAAGUAGCAAGGUUAAGCACUUAAGGUGUGGAGCCGUAGCGAAAGCGAGUUUUAACUGAGCGUUCAGUUACUUGACGUAGACCCGAAACCGGGCGACCUACCCAUGAGCAGGAUGAAGCGAAAGUAAAAUUUCGUGGAGGUCCGAACCCACGAGCGUUGAAAAGCUCGGGGAUGACUUGUGGGUAGCGGUGAAAUUCCAAUCGAGCCCGGAGAUAGCUGGUUCUCCCCGAAAUAGCUUUAGGGCUAGCCUCAAGGUGAGAGAUACGGAGGUAGAGCACUGAAUGUCCUAGGGGGUAUUGCACCUACCGAAGACUAUCAAACUCCGAAUGCCGUCAUCUUAUACUUGGGAGUCAGACUGUGGGUGAUAAGAUUCAUAGUCGAAAGGGCAACAGCCCAGAUCGUCAGCUAAGGUCCCUAAAUGUAAGUUAAGUGGUAAAGGAUGUGGGAUUGCACAGACAACCAGGAUGUUGGCUUAGAAGCAGCCACUCAUUCAAAGAGUGCGUAAUAGCUCACUGGUCGAGUGAUCCUGCGCCGAAGAUUUCCGGGGCUAAAACUUACUACCGAAGCUACGGCAUCAGUAAUGAUGGGUAGGGGAGCUUCCCAUACGGGUUGAAGCAUGACCGUAAGGACAUGUGGACAGUAUGGGAGUGAGAAUGUUGGCAUGAGUAGCGAGAUGUGGGUGAGAAUCCCACAGGCCGUAAACCCAAGGUUUCCAGGGGAAGGUUCGUCCGCCCUGGGUUAGUCGGGACCUAAGCUGAGGCCGAAAGGCGUAGGUGAUGGACAACAGGUUGAUAUUCCUGUACUACCGAUAACCGUUUGAGAGAAGGGAUGACACAGUAGGAUAAGCUAAGCACACUGUUGGUUAUGUGUGCCCAAGCAUUGAGGCAGUCAAAGUAGGCAAAUCCGCUUUGAUAAUGCUGGGAUGUGAUGGGGAGCGAAAUUUAGUAGCGAAGUAGCUGAUUUCACACUGUCAAGAAAAGUCUCUAUCGAGGUUAAAGGUACCCGUACCGCAAACCGACACAGGUGGGUGAGGAGAGUAUCCUAAGGCCAGCGAGAGAACUGUUGUUAAGGAACUCGGCAAAAUGACCCCGUAACUUAGGGAUAAGGG